GACGAACGCUGGCGGCUUGCUUAACACAUGCAAGUCGAACGGAGUGGCGAACGGGUGAGUAACACGUGGGUGAUCUGCCUUGCACUUCUGGAUAAGCUUGGGAAACUGGGUCUAAUACCGGCUCUUGCAAGAUGAGCUCGCGGCCUAUCAGCUUGUUGGUGGGGUAAUGGCCUACCAAGGCGUCGACGGGUAGCCGGCCUGCGAGGGUGUACGGCCACAUUGGGACUGAGAUAAGGCCCAGACUCGUACGGGAGGCAGCAGUGGGGAAUAUUGCACAAUGGGCGGAAGCCUGAUGCAGCGACGCCGCGUGGGGGAUGAAGGCCUUCGGGUUGUAAACUCCUUUAGACAGGGACGCGGUACCUGUAUAAGAAGCACCGGAUAACUACGUGCCAGCAGCCGCGGUAAUUC
rnacentral:rRNA from 1 species